rnacentral:rRNA from 1 species
UGGGGAAUUUUGGACAAUGGGCGAAAGCCUGAUCCAGCAAUGCCGCGUGUGUGAAGAAGGCCUUCGGGUUGUAAAGCACUUUUGUCCGGAAAGAAAUCCUUGGCUCUAAUACAGUCGGGGGAUGACGGUACCGGAAGAAUAAGCACCGGCUAACUACGUGCCAGCAGCCGCGGUAAUACGUAGGGUGCAAGCGUUAAUCGGAAUUACUGGGCGUAAAGCGUGCGCAGGCGGUUUGCUAAGACCGAUGUGAAAUCCCCGGGCCCAACCUGGGAACUGCAUUGGUGACUGGCAGGCUAGAGUAUGGCAGAGGGGGGUAGAAUUCCACGUGUAGCAGUGAAAUGCGUAGAGAUGUGGAGGAAUACCGAUGGCGAAGGCAGCCCCUGGGCCAAUACUGACGCUCAUGCACGAAAGCGUGGGGAGCAAACAGGAUUAGAUACCCUGGUAGUCCACGCCCUAAACGAUGUCAACUAGGUUGUUGGGGAUUCAUUUCCUUAGUAACGUAGCUAACGCGUGAAGUUGACCGCCUGAGGAGUACGGUGCGCAAGAUUAAAACUCAAAGGAAUUGACGGGGUCA